GAGAUGAGUUUACAGUCCAUGCUGGUGAUACCUUUUUUUGCAACUUAAAUAUAAAUCAAUUUGAAGGCCUCUGUAAAAUAUCACUGACAUUUUGUAGAAAAUCUUGUCACAUGACUACUCUAGCCAAUGGUUUUAUCAGAUAUUUUAGAGGUGAAAUAAAUGUGAUGAAAUGACAGCAAAGUGAGAUUUUACACGAAUUAAUGUUGUAAUAGAAAUUUUAUUCCGAUUUUUUUCAAAAUGAAGUCUGAAAUGACCUAUUCUAAUCUCCUUUUGUCCUUCAAGUGUCUGUAAUCAAUUUACUUUUUUGACUUCUCAAUAACCAAAAGCCCCAGUAUCAUGAUAUUGGGCCAGUAGCAUGCUGGCCCCUGAUCUGUUCAAAUCAGCAGAACUUGAUCUACUUUCAAGAUCACAGAGCUGAAAUGUGUUAAAUUUUAGUAUAAAAGUUAAACAUCUAUCUGUAUACUUCAGAACUCAGGUGACUGAUCUUGUUUAAGGUGACUUAAAUUAAGAGUUUGUCUUUUUUGCAUGUGGUAUAGAUUAAAGAUUCAAGGUACAUGUAAGAAUAUAGAUUUAUUAGAACCGCUGAUGAAUGAUGAAUGUGUUUCCUACGAAGGGUAUUUCAUUAUGUCUUACUAUUUCGGUGAUCAGGUUUCGGUUUCAACAUUUCUUAACUUAAGGAAAGUCCUUAUUUUAACAUUUUUGAUAGACAAACACUAUCAAAUUUCAGGAAAAAUCUUGGGUAAGUAACUUCCUGAAAUAUUGUAGUGCUUUCAUAUGAAAAAUAAGUGGAGGAAUAUUGAUUGAAUUUGGGGCCUGAGAGUUUAUCCUGAAGUUACAUGGCUGCAUCAUUCCACCAGCCUGAUCCAAGUAUAUAUUUGGGGAUUGGCAGAGUUCACAUAGUGUGUUUUCUAUGAAAACAAACCGUAUACAUGUUUUCUGUGAAAACAUAUAUAACAGAUGAUUAUAUAUACAUGUUUAUAAUAAAAAUGUCUAUGAUACACAGUGCAAUACUAGGAUAUGUAUACAUGAUGAUGGAUAUAUAUGUUGUAUUACUGCCAGUAAUGAGGGUGGUGAUGGAUGUGUUCAGUAGGUCAAUAUCUGUUCAGUGUUGUGUGGGGGAUGGUGGAGGAUGUGUUCAGUACAAAGUGGAUAUAUGUCCAGUGUUUUGUGGGGGAUGGUGGAGGAUGUGUUCAGUACAAGGUUGAUAUAUGUCCAGUGUUUUGUGAUGGAUGGUGGAGGAUGUGUUCAGUACAAGGUGGAAAUAUCCAGUUUUUGUGGGGGAUGGGGGAGGAUGUGUUCAGUACAAGGUCAAUAUAUGUUCAGUGUUUUGUGGGGGAUGGUGGAGGAUGUGUUCAGUACAAGGUUGAUAUAUGUCCAGUGUUUUGUGGGGGAUGGUGGAGGAUGUGUUCAGUACAAGGUGGAAAUAUCCAGUGUUUUUGUGGGGAUGGUGGAGGAUGUGUUCAGUACAAGGUUGAUAUCUGUCCAGUGUUUUGUGAUGGAUGGUGGAGGAUGUGUUCAGUACAAGGUUGAUAUAUGUCCAGUGUUUUGUGGGGGAUGGUGGAGGAUGUGUUCAGUACAAGGUGGAAAUAUCCAGUGUUUUUGUGGGGAUGGUGGAGGAUGUGUUCAGUACAAGGUUGAUAUCUGUCCAGUUUUUUGUGGGGGAUGGUGGAGGAUGUGUUCAGUACAAGGUUGAUAUAUGUCCAGUGUUUUGUGGGGGAUGGUGGAGGAUGUGUUCAGUACAAGGUUGAUAUAUGUCCAGUGUUUUGUGAUGGAUGGUGGAGGAUGUGUUCAGUACAAGGUUGAUAUAUGUCCAGUGUUUUUGUGGAGAUGGUGGAGGAUGUGUUCAGUACAAGGUUGAUAUAUGUCCAGUGUUUUGUGGGGGAUGGUGGAGGAUGUGUUCAGUAGGUCAAUAUCUGUCCAGUGUUUUGUGGGGGGUGGUGGAGGAUGUGUUCAGUACAAGGUUGAUAUCUGUUCAGUGUUUUGUGGGGGAUGGUGGAGGAUGUGUUCAGUACAAGGUUGAUAUCUGUCCAGUGUUUUGUGGAGAUGGUGGUGGAUCUGUUCAGUACAAGGUGGAAAUAUGUCCAGUGUUUUGUGGGGGAUGGUGGAGGAUGUGUUCAGUACAAGGUGGAAAUAUCCAGUGUUUUGGGGGGGAUGGUGGAGGAUGUGUUCAGUAAGUCAAUAUAUGUCCAGUGUUUUGUGGGGGGGAUGGUGGAGGAUGUGUUCAGUACAAGGUCAAUAUAUGUCCUGUGUUUUUGGGGGGAUGGUGGAGGAUGUGUUCAGUAAGUCAAUAUAUGUCCAGUGUUUUGUGGGGGGGAUGGUGGAGGAUGUGUUCAGUAGGUCAAUAUCUGUCCAGUGUUUUGUGGGGGAUGGUGGAGGAUGUGUUCAGUACAAGGUGGAUAUAUGUCCAGUGUUUUGUGGGGGAUGGUGGAGGAUGUGUUCAGUACAAGGUGGAUGUGAUGUUCUGAUAGGAAUGGUGGUUGUUGUUACAUUAUGGAAGGUGAUAAUGGUUGGCUUGAUGUUGUCUGGAGAGAGAGUUGAUUUUUAGAAGUCAACAGAUAAUUGAAUGAAACAUUUACAUUGUAUAUACACUGUGACAUCACAAUGGCAUGUUGUUAUGAUGAAUUACAGUUUUGUUAGUUGAAUAUAUAGCUAUGGCUGUUUAGAACUCAUAUUGGCUUAUCCGAAUAUAUUACUGGAUAGGUUUGUCAAUUACAUUUAUUUAAAGACAUUUACCAGAUUUACACUUCAGGUGGUAUUCAAAUUUUUCUUUUUGACUCAUCUGCCUGAAGGUCAAGUGAGUUUAUGCCAUGGUGCAGUAUCUGGCAUCAAGGUUUGAUCAAAUGAAUGUCUUUGACCUACAUUCAAGGUCACCAGGUCAAAUGUGUUAAAAUCUUUAAAACAAUUUGAAUAAAGUGGUAAUCAGUUUGGUAUCUGCAUAAAUGACCUAGAUAAACCUCAAACUUGCAUUAGAAGCAGGCCAGAGAUACGGGCCCAUUGGACCUCUUGUAUAGGAUCUGCUUUACAAAAUAUAUUUUUCAUAUAUGAAGUUUAUUAUAUAAGUAUGUUCAGUGUUCUGAAUUAUAAUGUCAUUAAAUAUCUCCCUUUUUCAGGAGAUAAUGAAUCCUGUAUUUCAUCAUUGUUUUACAAGUGUAUGAUAUAUCUCCAGAAAAAAAGGUAAAAAACCUAAGAGGCUGAAGUUUUAUCUAUAGUGAUGCUGGUCCUACUGAUAACAUGCUUUGAGAGCACCCUAGGUUACAAUCAAGGUCCAUUACAUAUCGUAAUGAAUCCAGAAGGUUAGUUAGGAAUUAGACAGUUUGGUACACAAGCCUAAUGCAUUUAAAGGUAGCUUGGUUCAUUUUAGCAUGAAUUUGUCAUCUUUUGAUAGUCCCUUAAUGUCUUUAAUUCUAGGGAAAAAAAGGUUUUUAUAUGAUAUGGUGCUCUAGUACAAAGCUUAUCUACCUCAGUAAAAUAGAAAUAGACUGUUAGUUUUAUCCGAUUGUGAUUUUAAUAGCUGGUCCGGUGAUCUUAUUUUCAUGAAUUUAUUUUUAGUUGCAUUUUCACAAGAAGUCCCUUUAAUGUAUCCCAGGUAACCACUGCAGUAGAAUUGGGUUAACAUGGAUAUGAAUGCAAUGGAUUCAGUGUCAUUUUGAUGCUUUAUUAUACACAGGGCAUAAUUGUAAGAAGCAAACAUAUACAUAGUUGAUGUUAGGCAGUUGUAGUAAUAUUGUUUGCAUUUGAGAAGAUUCAUUGUACUUGCUCAUGAAUUCUGAUAUCAAUUUGUAUGUAAAUAUAAAGCUUGAAUGGUUGUUUAUCAGUAUUUGAAUAAAUGACAGGGUCAUUUUAAUUCUAUUGCUUUAAGAAAUCUGCCAAGAUUUUGUUUAACUUAUUUUUCAGAGAACUAUUGACAGUAAUGUUUGAAAGAAAUAUUUGGUGAAUGAAAACGUUUUGAGCAUGGGUUGAAAAAAAUUAUUGUGUCAUGAUUUUGGCAGAUUUGUACAGCAUCUGAGGUUGUCAUUGUAGGGUAUAUAACUAGACAUCUGUCACACUGUCUUUUCUAUGUAUUUCAUGUUUAUCCAUCAUUGAACACACGCUAUUGGUGGUUUUUAUUUACCUUUGUUGAAAACAAUUAAUAUUAGCUGAAGUUGCCAUGGAUUUAAAGAAUGUGAUGUAAACCUGCUAAAGCUUAAUGUAUAAUUUUCAUAUAAAUUACAGAUACCUACAUACUAAAAUUGUUUGAAACAGAACAUUUCUGUUGAGAUCAUUUCAACAAUGAAAGAAUAGGAGAGUUUAACAAUAGAAUUUAGUUUUGUACAAUUAUUGUGAUCAUUGAAAAAAUGUAAAGUCUCUAGUAACAGUGUCUCUUAGGAUCAAGAAUCUUCGAAUGCAACUCAGAAGAGAUGGUUUCAGGUAUAACCCUUUCUUGGCCCCUAUCGGCUGUCAAGCUACCGAUAUACCAUCUGACAGAGUGAAACAAAGGGAAAUAACUCUGAUAGAUCGUAAGAAGCAUAACCAAACCUGCACUAAUUCACAUUUGAUAAAGUUAUUUAUCAAUUAAUCAAUACAAUAUUCAUCUGUAACUUCGAGGUUGUUGAUUUUUAUGUAUGCUGAAAGUCAUUGAUUGUAUACUAUAUUUUGAAGCAAUAAAAAAUCUUCAUUUAAAUC